CUGGCCUCUCAAGGGGGGCAUUGUGCACUCCUCGAAACAAUUCACAAUUUCCAUCACACCCCUUGUGCACAUCUUGUAGGCACCCAAACCUCACCUCCGGGUGGCGGGGUCCCUAUGUAUUCCUUCAUCUCACACUUUGUUGAAUGGUGCCAUUGAACGCAUCUAAAGGAUUAUUUGUAAAAAGAGUAAUCAUAGAAACAACUUUCAACAAUGGAUCUCUUGGCUCUCGCAUCGAUGAAGAACGCAGCGAAAUGCGAUACGUAAUGUGAAUUGCAGAAUUCCGUGAAUCAUCGAAUCUUUGAACGCACCUUGCGCCUCUUGGUAUUCCGAGGGGCAUGCCUGUUUGAGUGUCAUUGAAACCCUCAAGAGGGGAAGCUUUUUGUGGCUUCUUCUUUUGGAAUUGGAGCGUGCUGGCCUUUUUUUAGAAGCCCAGCUCCUCUGAAAUGCAUUAGCGAUGUGACAUCCUCGUGCCAUCACGCUUCUCCAGCAUUGAUAAGUCUCUUUCAUGCUCGAGUGUGUUGUGCUUAGGUGGAAAGUUUUGCUCGCUCACAGACCCAUUGGGGGCUUUGCCUCCCCCAUGCUUUGACCAAAUUAACCUCAAAUCAG
rnacentral:rRNA from 1 species